rnacentral:rRNA from 1 species
UGGGGAACCUGCCCCAUAGUCUGGGAUACCACUUGGAAACAGGUGCUAAUACCGGAUAAGAAAGCGGAUCGCAUGAUCAGCUUUUAAAAGGCGGCGUAAGCUGUCGCUAUGGGAUGGCCCCGCGGUGCAUUAGCUAGUUGGUAAGGUAAAGGCUUACCAAGGCGAUGAUGCAUAGCCGAGUUGAGAGACUGAUCGGCCACAUUGGGACUGAGACACGGCCCAAACUCCUACGGGAGGCAGCAGCG